rnacentral:rRNA from 1 species
UACGUAGGGGGCAAGCGUUGUCCGGAAUCAUUGGGCGUAAAGAGCGUGUAGGCGGCUCAGUAAGUCUGCUGUGAAAGUCCAGGGCUCAACCCUGGGAUGCCGGUGGAUACUGCUGGACUAGAGUGCGGAAGAGGCGAGUGGAAUUCCCGGUGUAGCGGUGAAAUGCGCAGAUAUCGGGAGGAACACCAAUUGCGAAGGCAGCUCGCUGGGACGUGACUGACGCUGAGACGCGAAAGCGUGGGGAGCAAACAGG